GCUUUCUGAAGAACUUGUGAGGAUGGUAAAGGAUAUGAAAACCUACUUUCCAUCAUGGAGACAUAGUAAACCAUAUUCUUUCUAUGCCUUCAACCAUGUCCUUCACUGUGUGGACAGCAUGCAAGCAAACAGUGAGAUUUUCCAGUUAAAACUCACUACCUCUAGCACAUACAACUAUGUUCAACUUGAGUUGCUAGACACUGUUGAUUCAGAACAUGCUUCCAAAAACACAGAUACUCUUGUGGCAAUUUUUUAUUGCCGUCUAGAAGGUUAGUCCUGAAAUUUUGUGUGUGUAUGUGUGUGUACAUACAUAUAUAUCUUGGAGUCCUCUCACUUUGCUGAAAUGUGUGCCUUUAAUAUAUGAGAGUGUUCUAUACACAUAAUACCCAGUCUCAGCUUUCUUUCUGGAGCAACUAUACCUGCAAAAGUAUCUUCACAGCAUGCGUAUGCUUCAGUGAAAUUCUUUUUUUUUCUUUCAUAACCCAUGGAGGUAAAGACACAGAAGAAGAGAAAUAAAAUCUGAAUCUUGCUGUCUCACACUGGUUAAGAAGAUUCACUCUGGCUAUGGAGCUCCUCAAAUACUAGUGGAUAAAGUAAUUUUUACCACCACACACACUCCAAAGUGUGUUUUUCUUUAAUAGAGUGGCAGUUUAGAUAGUGGUGUCUUUGCUGGGUGACUGUCCUCAAGAUCUGGUUGGAAUAUCAUUCUUAAUGUAUUUGCAUACAGGAUAUAAUUCCUUGUUGAUACAUACCAAAAAGGCUUGAUGUUUGUAGGCCACCUUCUCUUUGAACAUUCAUUCACUACAUUUUGUAUUCAAAUGGAGACUAC
rnacentral:lncRNA from 10 species